rnacentral:rRNA from 1 species
UACGUAGGGGGCGAGCGUUGUCCGGAAUCAUUGGGCGUAAAGCGCGUGUAGGCGGCCCGGUAAGUCCGCUGUGAAAGUCCAGGGCUCAACCCUGGGAUGCCGGUGGAUACUGUCGGGCUCGAGUCCGGAAGAGGCGAGUGGAAUUCCUGGUGUAGCGGUGAAAUGCGCAGAUAUCAGGAGGAACACCAAUGGCGAAGGCAGCUCGCUGGGACGUGACUGACGCUGAGACGCGAAAGCCAGGGGAGCGAACGGG